AGCGAACGCUGGCGGCAUGCCUAACACAUGCAAGUCGCACGGGGGGGCUUCGGCCUCCCAGUGGCGGACGGGUGAGGAACGCGUAGGGACCUGUCGAGGGGUGGGGGAUAACCGCGGGAAACUGCGGCUAAUACCGCAUGACGCCGCGGCGUGACAGCCGGGGCCAAAGGCGAAAGCCGCCCGCCGAGGGGCCUGCGUCCGAUUAGCUGGUUGGCGGGGUAGCGGCCCACCAAGGCGUCGAUCGGUAGCUGGUCUGAGAGGGUGAUCAGCCACACCGGGAAUGAGAGACGGCCCGGACUCCUACGGGAGGAAGAAGGGGGGAAUAUUGAACAAUGGGCGCAAGACUGAGCCAGAAAGGCCGCGUGGGUGAAGAAGGUCUUCGGAUUGUAAAGCCCGUGCGGCGGGGACGAUGGUGACGGUACCCGCAGAAGAAGCCCCGGCUAACUUCGUG
rnacentral:rRNA from 1 species